ensembl:processed_transcript
GGAGUGACAAAAUUACCCCUACAACAGAAGAGAAGAGCCAAUAUGAAGGGAGCUAAUCACUGAGCUGGAGGAAACACAGAUUUUGGAUCGUCCUCUACUCACUCUACCACUUUGUUUUUCCUUGCCAGACUUCAUUCAAGAAAGAAGCCUGCUACAAGAGAGACAGCGGAAGGAACCUCAAAGACAUUUUUAUUAGGAUCUGCUAAUCAUGAGGGGGCAGACAAAAGAACCUGCAUUUUCCUUCAGCUUAAUAUCAGGGGUCGCCACAGCGUAAGGAACUGGAUAUUACUUUGGCAUAUGUUUUACACAGCCUUCCAGCUGCAACCCAGCACUGUGAAACACCCAUACACUCUCGUAUUCACAGACACUUCUACACUAUGUUCAAAUUCACCUAUAGCACAAGUGUUUGGACUGU